rnacentral:rRNA from 1 species
AGCGAACGCUGGCGGCAGGCUUAACACAUGCAAGUCGAACGCCCCGCAAGGGGAGUGGCAGAGGGGUGAGUAACACGUGGGAACGUACCCUUUGGUUCGGAAUAACUUGGGGGAACUCAAGCUAAUACCGGAUAAGCCCUUAUGGGGAAAGGUUUACUGCCGAAGCAUCGGCCCGAGUCUGUUUAGCUAGUUGGUGAGGUAAUGGCUCACCAAGGCGACGAUCAGUAGCUGGUCUGAGAGGAUGAUCAGCCACACUGGGACUGAGACACGGCACAGACUCCUACGGGAGGCAGCAGUGGGGAAUAUUGGACAAUGGGGGCAACCCUGAUCCAUCCAUGCCGCGUGAGUGAUGAAGGCCUCAGGGUUGUAAAGCUCUUUUACCCGGGACGAUAAUGACUGUACCGGGAGAAUAAGCCCCGGCUAACUUCGUGCCAGCCGCCGCAGUAA